AUCCUUGUGACGAGUCCCAAAUAGGACGAAACGUGUGUCCUGUAU
rnacentral:hammerhead_ribozyme from 1 species